GUGAACGCUGGCGGUAGGCCUAACCCAUGCAAGUCGAACGGCAGCACAGUAAGAGCUUGCUCUUACGGGUGGCGAGUGGCGGACGGGUGAGGAAUACAUCGGAAUCUACUUUUUCGUGGGGGAUAACGUAGGGAAACUUACGCUAAUACCGCAUACGACCUACGGGUGAAAGCAGGGGAUCUUCGGACCUUGCGCGAUUGCAUGAGCCGAUGUCGGAUUAGCUAGUUGGCGGGGUAAAGGCCCACCAAGGCGACGAUCCGUAGCUGGUCUGAGAGGAUGAUCAGCCACACGGGAACUGAGAAACGGUCCAGACUCCUACGGGAGGCAGCAGUGGGGAAUAUUGGACAAUGGGCGCAAGCCUGAUCCAGCCAUACCGCGUGGGUGAAGAAGGCCUUCGGGUUGUAAAGCCCUUUUGUUGGGAAAGAAAAGCAGAAGGUUAAUACCCCGCUGUUCUGACGGUACCAAAAGAAUAAGCACCGGCUAACUUCGUG
rnacentral:rRNA from 1 species